rnacentral:lncRNA from 1 species
GCAAGAAUUGUCAUGCUUCAUGACACAAGAUGAUGUCCUGAAAGGAGGGAAAAGGAAACAUCCUCACAGCAGUGUGCUGGUGACAGACUGCUUCCUUCUGCUAUUUGUACUGCCUGUGGAUAAUGUGUUCACUGUGAAGGCUGACACGAUUUGCAUACUGUUAAGAAGAAAACUCCACUCAAAACAGAAGGCAGUGCCAGAGCAGAGACUUGGGCUGGUCCUGUCCAAUCCCACAUUCCUGUUGGAACUGAGCUCCAUGGCCAGGGGAACUGGGAAGAGGCAGAACCUCACAACAGGAGCUGUGCAGUGAAGAUGAUCUCACCACAACCAUAUCAAGGUGAUGACUACUGCCAACUCUGACUUUCCUUUUGCUCUUUAUGACCCCUUCUCACUGUCAGUAAGUCUUUCGUACUGAACCACAUUUCUAUUAGCAAUCUUUUGGGUGUAGUAAGCCAUAGUCCUGCCAGACCCCUAUAAAAUGCCCUACACCCCUUCUUGCAGGCCCAAUAUUGUCCUUCAAGUCUGCCAGUAAUCUCAGGGUGGCCUCUGAGGAUGAACUCAGUUGUAUGCUCUGUGCACUUCUGAUUGCUUUUUUUUUUUUUUUUUUUUUUUUUUCCCGAUUUUAUUUUUUUUUUUUUUUCUUAAACUCCCUUUCCAAGGCAUUUUUUUUUCUUGCUUAAACGGUGCCACCACCUCUGGGCACUUGCAGUGUUUAACUAAAAAUACUGUAAGGAGCUGAACACAAGUAGGAUGGGGUUUGGGAUUAUUUGAAUGAAGGAAAAAAUUGAAGGAAAAAUUUGUCUCUGUAUUAAAACAAAACCACAACCAAAAAUCAGACUUGGUAUACAUAGCAUUAAAAUCACUAUCAAAAGACACAAAAGCAUAUGUAUAUAUAUAUAUAAUUUUCAACUCUCCGACUUUCACACCAUUAGGAAGUACGGAUGCCCAGCCAACUGCACCAGGAGCUUCCUCCCAGUGACAGGGAAAGCAUCCAGUGCCCUCCUGAGAACACAAGAGAGUCAUAUGCAAGUGUCUUUGUAGCUGAACAGGUAUAUGGUCCUGCUCCAAGCUGUGUUGGUCAUGUUCACAGCCUCUUGACAGAGAGCUGCGAACAUGUCAUUUGGCUCACCCUAUAUUCCUUUUUUUCCCCUGGGAUGUCUUCCCCUUUACUACUAUCAUCCCCUCCCAGAUAAACAGCUCAUUUCUGUGUGCCAUUUCCUCAUCGGCCCUGGUUUUGCUGCUUUUAUACCGUUAUUUGAUAUUUAUGCUAUGGUUGCCCUGGCAAUUUCUAAUUUUGACAGCAAUUUUGUCAAGCUACUGCCCUUUUUUGCUAUCUAUAGUGUCCUGCCGUUUCUCAUUUUGCUGUCUUGUUAGUGGCACCACAGGUCAGCAUGGGCCAUCUGCAUAUACAUUACUCCUCUUUGUGAUCUGUAGCAUCCUGCCGUUCUUCAUGUUGUUAUCUUGUCGGAGGCACUGCAAGACAGAGUGAACCAUCUGUAGAUACACCUUAACACAUACCUGCCUGUACCAUCUGCCACUAAAUUAAUAGGCAGAGUUAAAUGGAAAAGAAAAAAAAAAAAAGCACAACAGGCAAAAAAAUAGAAAAGCCUUUUAUAAACCAAGUAAAACAAAAUAAAAUCAUGACCACUUUUGAAUCUUAUAAGUGA